ACCGGGUGGUAACCGCGCGUGGGCGUCCCUCGCGGUCUCUACAGCGCGCAAGGGCGACACGAGCUCUGGGUGCUUUCCGGCUCGUUCUGCACCCUCCCAGGUCCCCGGCGUCUCGCCAUCUUUAAAUUCGAGUGUGUCCCCUACCAUCAAAGUGAAGCGCAGUCAAGAAUCAGGAACCUAGGCUUCCGUAUGCAUGGAAACAAGACGUUUUAGUCCAGCCCCAAAUAUCCUUUCUCAGCAAGAUUCCCAGGACCUCAUUGGAGCGGUUUACAGCCAGUCUCAUCUCACUAGUGACUUCCAUUUUCUCUCGUGGUCCUUAAAGAGACAGAUGUUACUCUUCCUAGAAGUAACUUUUCAAAACAAAUCAAGUGACCGUUAUAUAGAGGGUUAAGGAUUUGUGUAUGUGCGUGAGAUUAUAUAUAUGUAUGUAUAUAUAUAUAUCCAUUUCAUUUCUACUCUUUAAAAAUAAAAUCAUCUCCACUUGACAUGAAUCUUUCAACAAUACAUUUAAGUGUAAGGCCUGUAAGUUUUUGCUUGACGUAAACUACAGUUUCCUCAAGACGUUCCGUCCCU